CCUACGGGCGGCAGCAGUGGGGAAUAUUGCACAAUGGGGGAAACCCUGAUGCAGCGACGCCGCGUGAGUGAAGAAGUAUUUCGUUAUGUAAAGCUCUAUCAGCAGGGAAGAAAAUGACGGUACCUGACUAAGAAGCCCCGGCUAACUACGUGCCAGCAGCCGCGGUAAUACGUAGGGGGCAAGCGUUAUCCGGAUUUACUGGGUGUAAAGGGAGCGUAGACGGUGAGGCAAGUCUGGAGUGAAAGGCCACGGCUGAACUACGGGACUGCUUUGGAAACUGGAGAACGGGAGUGCGGGAGAGGUAAGCGGAAUUCCUAGGGUAGCGGUGAAAUGCGUAGAUAUUAGGAGGAACACCGGUGGCGAAGGCGGCUUACUGGACCGUAACUGACGUUGAGGCUCGAAGGCGUGGGGAGCAAACAGGAUUAGAUACCCGAGUAGUC
rnacentral:rRNA from 1 species